rnacentral:lncRNA from 1 species
UCCACCACCUCACAUAAUUUCCGUCCACACCUUUCGAGGCUGUGCAUUGGGUCGGCGACAGUAGCGAGAGCUGGCGGCCAUGGAUGAGAUGAGAGUGGGACGAGCAGCCGUGGCCGCGGCUGCGGAGUCGCUUUUGGAGGCUACGUCGGCGAGCCGUGCUCUCGACUCUGUCAAAGACCCCCGCAUCUCCCCGAGGUUCAUCUUCUCCACACUCCUAGCACUAGUACUUCCGUCAGAACUCGGAAUUACAAAAUUCAGGCUUCAAUUCAAUCCUUCCUCACUUGGGAAUGAGAAGAAGUACUCCUAGCACUAGUUAUGUAGUAGGAAUUCAGAAAUCUUGGAGUAACUUGAUCUUGGAAUACCCCUAGCACUAGUUCAUUCAGAAUUUAGAAAUCCUAGCACUACCUACUACUCCUUCAACCCGGAUUCAGAACUCAGAUUGCGUUGUACUCCAAGGAUUUAGAGUGAAUUAACAUGUGAUUGCUUUAGGCGGUAUGAUGCGUUAGAUGGUAAGGCAGAGAGUUGAUUAGGCUACAUUGUUACCAAUUUGAAUUCUUUUUUUGAUGGUUAUUCAGGAAAACAAGUCGUAAGCAUUUCAUUUAUGACAUGUUCAUACUCCUGAAUUUCAGAGUAUGAUUGUAGCAUGAAACAAGUUCAGAGUAUUCUUGUUACUCCUGAAUUUCUUUUAGAGAACAAUGCAGGAGUAGAAGUUCUUUUUUUUUAUUAUUCUUGUUAGAGAACAAUGCGAUACAAUUUGGGCAUUUGGUUUUGUCCAAUUGGUGUGUUAUUCUGAAAUGGCCAUUAGGUUCAGAGUACUUGGGUUUUGUCUGUUAUUCUGAACUUGCUGAAGAACUAAUCCUAGAGAUGGUGGUCUGUGUGAAUUUUCUGAGAAAUCGGAGUAAGAUGUUUUCUCGAGUAGAUAUCAGUAUAAUCCGAUUUACAGCAUGCAUAGAUUUUUUUUUUUGAUAACAGGUAAUUUGAUUACCCGGCUUUUGGGAGAAAGCCAAACAAAACAAGGUCUGAAUACAAAAAAAAACUUAAAGGAAAAACAGAGUAAAACUGGGGCUGCCAGUACCCAUCACGCGCUAGAAAACUAAACCCCAAAAGGCUUACAAACCCCGCCAAGAAGUAUCCAAACGACUAGGAAAUCUCAAACCCCUAAGAGCAACAUCACUGGCUUAAGCACUAAUAUUGUCCGGUAGCACAUUCACAGGACGUAGAGACUCCAGCUUAGCCUUCAGCUUCUCAAGCAGCGCGUUCAAAGCUUCGCGAUCUCUUUCUUUUGACAGCAGCACCUUCCAUCUCUGCAUCAAGGAAAUUGCCUUGUACACUACCUACAAAGGUGAUCUCACUAAUUUAUUCUCAAAAACAAAGUCAUUUCUUACCAACCACAAACCCCAGCACAGACUAGCACAAAGAAAAAGGCCUAAAUUCACCCCCAAUUUAUUAUCCUUAACAGCUCUUAUACCAUCCCAAAAAUUGGUUGGAAUUAACCCCCCCCCCCAAUUACCUCCAUUACAGAGCACCAAGCAAAGCAAGCAAUAGGACAAGUAAAAAGAGCAUGGUUAGUAGAUUCAGUUCUCAGGCAUAAUUUACAAAAUUUAGUACCCCCUUCCAAUUUCUCUGAACUAAGAGUUCAGCACAAGGUAUUCUCCCUCUCCCAGCCAAAAACAAGAAAUGCUUGACUUUUAAAGGAACUUUGCACCCCCAAAUCUCUGUUAUCUCUUUGUCCACAACACCCCCAAACUUUAACAACCUAUACAUAGAUUUAGUAGUGAACUUCUUAUUCUUCUCAUGAGGCCAAAUUAAGCUAUCAGGCAAAUCAUCUAGCCUCACAUCCUGCAGCAAACUUUUCAAAACGUCUAAUUGAGCCUUGUCAGACUGGUCCAGAUUUCUUCUAAAGGACAAAUCCCAAUUAGGGGCACCCAUAACCUCCCUAACCGAAAGAUGUUGUUGAUUAUUCACCAUAUAUAAGGAAGGAAACAAAAUUCUUAGGGGAACAUCUCCCAACCAAACAUCCUCCCAGAACUGUGUUUUUUCUCUAUUACCAAUCUUCUUAACUACCAAAUAGUUUAACCAGACUUUGCACUCAUGAAGGCCUUUCCAAAACUGGGACCCCCCACUAGCAGAACUCUUGAAAAAACUGCCCCUCCCUAAGUACUUAUUCCUAAGAACAACACAGCUCAUGUCCUGAGAGUUGCCUUCCAACUUCAUGAUCCAUUUACUCAACAGGCAAAUAUUCAUGGUCCUAGUGUCCAAGAAACCCAAGCCACCAAAGUCUUUAGGUCUACACAAGCCUUGCCACUUAAUAAGGUGAUAUUUCUUCUUCUUUCCAUUCCCCUGUCAAUAGAAUCUCCCCCUUACAGUGUCUAAAUUUUUGUGAAACUCCUCAGGAGGCUUUAAAAAACCCAUAGCAUACAUUGGGACACUGGACAGACAGGUAUUGAUCCUGAUCUCCCUCCCCCCAUAGGAGAGAUGACCACUGUGCCAAGAUUGCAAUCUUUUCUCUAUUUUUUGCAUGAUUGGAAGCAAGUCCCUUUUCCCUACCUUACCAACCCCCAUAGGCAAACCCAAGUAAGUAAAAGGAAGAGAACCCACUUUACAAUUAAGCAUGUCAUCAUACGAUUCCUCCUCAUCCUUUGGAACCCCCAACACAUAAACCUCACUCUUCUGAUAAUUGAUUUUCAUUCCAGACAUCUCUUCGAAACAGAACAACAAGAAUUUCAAGGCUAACACAUUUUCCUUAGUAGCUUUAGUAAAGAGAAUAGUGUCAUCAGCAUACUGGAGAUGAGUAAGACCCCCUGGAACCAGAUUAGGAACCAACCCCUCCAAAACCCCAUUACUGUUAGCACCAUCCAGAAUAACUGACAAAGCAUCCCCUAUUAGAUUAAAUAAGAUAGGAGACAGAGGAUCCCCCUGCCUCAGACCCCUAAAAGUCUUGAAAAAAGGUCCAUGUUCCCCAUUAAUAUUUAUACUGACUCUACCCCCCUUCAGUGAUCUUCUUAAUCCAUUCAAUAAAAAUGCUGUUAAAAUUCUUCUUCUGCAUCACCUCAUAGAGAAACCACCACUGCACCCUAUCAUAAGCCUUUUCAAAAUCUAUCUUAAAGAUAACACCUGAUUCUUUCUUUUUAUGGAGCUCAUGCAAUACCUCAUAGAGAAUUACACACCCAUCCAAAAUAUACCUUCCAGGAAUGAACGCAGUCUGUGUCCAGUUAAUAAUCCCCCCAAUCACACUAGUUAUCCUCAUGGUUAAAGCUUUAGUUAGAAUUUUCAGAAUCACAUUUUGAAGACAAAUGGGUCUAUAUUGCUUUAUUGUAUUAGCAUCCUUAAUUUUUGGCAGUAGAGAAAUCACCCCAUAAUUUAUUCUAUCACUGUCUAAAAUUCCUUUCUGAAGAUCAUCAAGCAUCUCUUUGAUCAAACCCCUAAAUUCAGGCCAAAGUUUCUUAUAGAAACCCACUGGAAAACCAUCAGGUCCAGGGGCAGUAUUUGUUUUCAUACUUUUCAUGACCUGAUCAAUUUCUGACAAUUCAAAAGGUUUCAUCAAGCUUUCAUUAUCCCUCUCAUUCAAACUUAACCUGUUAGCCCAAACCCCCUGCUCCAAAUGAAUGUUUCUCAGUUCUUCCCUCCCAAACAACUGUUUGUAAUAAUCAUAAAUAUGAGUCUGUAUUUGUUGGAAAUCUGAAAUAACCUCCUCCCCUUGCUGUAUAGAGAAAAUGUGACUUUUCCUAUUCCUACCAUUAGCAAUCCUAUGGAAAAAAGAGGUAUUGCUGUCCCCCCUUAACAACCAUUGUUCACCCCCUCUCCUUUGCCACCACAGUUCUUCUUGUAGAUAGAUCUGCUCUACUUCCUUUUCCAGCUCAUAUCUGACCUCCCAUUCUUGAGGAAACAAAUCCCUCUCCUUAGCAAUGUUAUCAAUUUCAGUCAGCUUUUGUUCUAUCUCUUUCCUUCUCUUUUUCUGUUUGCUCACCAUAUUAGCACUCCACCCCCUUAACCAUCUCCUCAGAUAAGGCAUAAGGAGAUGCCAGUAAUCCAUUAUUUUGCUCUGUAUUCUGGCAGGCCACUUCUCAAGCAAUUCUUUCUUAAAACCCUCCAGCUCAAACCAACCCAUCUCGAACCUAAAAUUGUUUCCCCUAACUCUCUCCCCCUCCCUAGUGUCUAACAGCAAAGGGCAAUGGUCUGAGCCAACCCUCAAAAGAGAACUAACUAUGGCCAAAGGGUAUAAAUGAUCCCAACUAGAGGUCACCAGGAUUCUAUCUAGAACACAUCUGAUGGGAUUGAUUUGCUUAUUCGUCCAGGUGAAUUUCCCCCCUAACUUAAACAGUUCUUGCAACUCAUAAUGAUUAAUAAAAUUAUUGAAAGCCUCAGUUCUUCUCACAUCCACCCCACCACCACCAGAUUUCUCAUCUAGAUAUCGAUACAGAUUGAAAUCACCCCCCAGAAUCAUAGGAUAAACUCCUUGCUGUACUUUGUUGCCAAUUUCAGCUAGGAACUCCCCCCUAUGUGCCUGUUGAGCAGGACCAUAAACGUUAAUUAGCUCCCAAUUCUGUCCAUCCUUCUUAUUUUUAAUCACCAUUCUUAAAGAAAAGGCCCCUUGAUCCCAAUCAACAAUAUCAAACAACAACUCUUUAACCCCAGUCAUAAUACCACCAGAGUGACCCACAGCUGCCACAUAUCUCCAAGUAAAGUUAUCUCCCACCAGAUUCCUCAAUUCCCUAUCAGUAAAACUUUGCUUGAUUGUCUCCUGAAGGCAAAUUAUAUCCACUUUUUGUUCAAAAACCAUCUCCCUCAACUGUCUUUGUCUACCUGCAGCCCCCAAACCCCUAACAUUCCAGAACACCACUCUCAUGAUUUAGACUUCUUUCUAGGACGCCCCCUCUUUUUCGGCCCAGACCCCUUUUGCACAGAUUGUUUCCCUUUCUUUUUCUUCUGUCUUAGACCCUCAUGGUCAUGCAAGUCAAAAUCCCCCAGGUUAUCAAAACUCUCUUUAUCUGCAUCAUCCAACUCAUCCCUAUCUUCCUCCUUCAGACCCUCCAUAUACUGAUCAUUCUCCAUUUCUAUCACAGGAACCCCCAGAAUCGCAUUAUUCUCAUUGGGGUACAGCAUGCAUAGAUAUCAGCAUUCUCGUAAGAUGUUUUUGAAAUUUAGAUUUCCAUACUCCCUAAUUGUACAUGUAAAAUGUAUUUGAAAAUACACACUAAUAAAAUGUCUGCUUGGAUUAGUUCUCAUGUUGCUUUCACAGAAAACUAGAGUAUCAAUGGCUUGAGUUUCUGAUAUCUGAAUAUUUACUGUAACUGUCUAUUGUCUGCUCAAUAUGUCUUCUGCAGAGUGCGUAAGAACCAUCUUUAUCUUUAAUUCGAUCAAUUUCAUCUCAUUCAGAGUUCUUGCUUGGAAUGUGCUAUUCUUGGGUCAAUUGCAUUCAGUCACAUUAAGUUGAGCACAAGCACAUGCCAUGGAAAAAAAAGAAAGAAACUUGAAUGGCUCAAGUUGUCACAGAGUGGAACUCCAAUAAGUACUCCAAGAUAGAAUUUCAGGAAUAUCAUCCUCAUGUGGUUUUCAACCCAAGCACAAAUUGAAAGAACAUUGAAACCUUAAGAUAUUAUCACUGAAUUAUUGCCAAAUUAGACAAAGAGUACACUAUUUUGAAGGUGCUAACUUCAGAUGGAGUACACACUAUUUUGUCAAACAAGCUUUGUUCUUGGCACAAGCACAAGCUUCUAGUGCUGUUGAAUUGAAGUGACUGGAGCAUCAAUCGGCUUCUACUAUGGUAGAGUUCCUAAGCUGCUUCAAAACUUAUCUUAAAAACUUGUAUGGACUUCACUUCUGCCUAGGCACCUGAACUGCCGCUUGAUUCAAUGGAUAGCUGUUACUGUUAGACAACACUUGCAUCUAACAUUUGUAUCUGACAUUUGCAUUGGUAGUACACACUCUCUCUCUCUCUCUCCUUUUUACGUUGGUAUCUGACAUUUCCAUUUUCUGUCAUAUUUUCAGCUGUUCUGAAGAAUACAAGUCUGAAGAGCUACUUUCAGGUCAGUGAAACCACACUGACAACCAUUUUAGAAACAGAAUUGAAUUGCCCUGAUUACCGCUUGAUGCCUUGAAGCAUAUACAAUCAAAGUUCAAACAGAUGUGGCCAUCAUAUAUGUAUAUGUAGCACAGUUUGAUUCCUCUUUGCUAGUCAAAAGAUGGUAUCAUCAAUCAAUAAUAGUUACAGUAUUGAUUCCAUGGAGUAGUAGGAUUACAACAAUUAAGGACGAUGAAGAGAAAGGGGUGGCUGGCGAUACACAUAGAGAGGCAAAGCAGGGGGUAGCUUAGUUACAACUUACAAACGAAGCUCUGAUCGAUCAAGUCUGAUUUGAUUGAUGCAGCUGAAGAAGAAGAGGAAGAAGACGACGAUGAUGAUGCAAUCAGCUGCUGACGUACUUGUCGAUGAUGGUGGCGAGGGUGGUCUUGGGGACGGCGCCGAUGACGCUCUCCU